rnacentral:rRNA from 1 species
UUUGAGAACUGCUGCCCUGAAGGCACUAGAUCCCUUUGGAUCUCCAAAGCUAAGUAGGGUAUGCAAUGGCUAGUACUUGAAUGAGAGAGUACCAACAAAGACCAGAUGUUGUAGGCU